rnacentral:rRNA from 1 species
AUUGAACGCUGGCGGCAGGCCUAACACAUGCAAGUCGAGCGGAUGAAGGGAGCUUGCUCCUGGAUUCAGCGGCGGACGGGUGAGUAAUGCCUAGGAAUCUGCCUGGUAGUGGGGGAUAACGUCCGGAAACGGGCGCUAAUACCUCAUACGUCCUGAGGGAGAAAGUGGGGGAUCUUCGGACCUCACGCUAUCAGAUGAGCCUAGGUCGGAUUAGCUAGUUGGUGGGGUAAAGGCCUACCAAGGCGACGAUCCGUAACUGGUCUGAGAGGAUGAUCAGUCACACUGGAACUGAGACACGGUCCAGACUCCUACGGGAGGCAGCAGUGGGGAAUAUUGGACAAUGGGCGAAAGCCUGCUCCAGCCAUGCCGCGUGUGUGAAGAAGGUCUUCGGAUUGUAAAGCACUUUAAGUUGGGAGGAAGGGCAGUAAGUUAAUACCUUGCUGUUUUGACGUUACCAACAGAAUAAGCACCGGCUAACUUCGUG